AUGGAUGUGUGCCCGAAUGUUUUAAGGAUUACUUUGAUAGAGUAAAUAAUAGAGGCUAAAAUCCUCUCACCUCCUUA
rnacentral:tRNA from 1 species